rnacentral:misc_RNA from 1 species
UCGCGGCUUAUCACCGGCAGUCCCCUUAGAGUGCCCAACUUAAUGAUGGCAACUAAAGGCAAGGGUUGCGCUCGUUGCGGGACUUAACCCAACAUCUCACGACACGAGCUGACGACAGCCAUGCAGCACCUGAACCAGAGGUCCCCGAAGGGAAGACCCUAUUUCUAGGGCUGUCCUCUGUUGUCUAGCCCGGGUAAGGUUCUUCGCGUUGCGUCGAAUUGAACCACAUGCUCCGCUGCUUGCGCGGGUCCCCGUCAAUUCCUUUGAGUUUUAGCCUUGCGGCCGUACUCCCCAGGCGGGGCACUUAAUGCGUUAGCUCCGGCACGGGAGGAGUCGACACCUCCCACACCUAGUGCCCAUCGUUUACGGCGUGGACUAC